rnacentral:rRNA from 1 species
UACGGGGGGGGCAAGCGUUGUUCGGAAUUACUGGGCGUAAAGGGCUCGUAGGCGGCCAACUAAGUCGGACGUGAAAUCCCUCGGCUUAACCGGGGAACUGCGUCCGAUACUGGAUGGCUGGAGGUUGGGAGAGGGAUGCGGAAUUCCAGGUGUAGCGGUGAAAUGCGUAGAUAUCUGGAGGAACACCGGUGGCGAAGGCGGCAUCCUGGACCAACACUGACGCUGAUGAGCGAAAGCCAGGGGAGCAAACGGG